rnacentral:rRNA from 1 species
CCUACGGUGGCAACAGUGGGGAAUAUUGCACAAUGGGGGGAACCCUGAUGCAGCGACGCCGCGUGAGUGAAGAAGUAUUUCGGUAUGUAAAGCUCUAUCAGCAGGGAAGAAAAUGACGGUACCUGACUAAGAAGCCCCGGCUAACUACGUGCCAGCAGCCGCGGUAAUACGUAGGGGGCAAGCGUUAUCCGGAUUUACUGGGUGUAAAGGGAGCGCAGACGGCUGUGCAAGUCUGGAGUGAAAGGCGGGGGCCCAACCCCCGGACUGCUCUGGAAACUGUAAAGCUGGAGUGCAGGAGAGGUAAGCGGAAUUCCUAGUGGAGCGGUGAAAUGCGUAGAUAGUAGGAGGAACACCAGGGGCGAAGGCGGCUGACUGGACUGCAACUGACGUUGAGGCUCGAAAGCGUGGGGAGCAAACAGGAUUAGAUAACCCAGGAGUC